rnacentral:rRNA from 1 species
AUUGAACGCUGGCGGCAUGCUUUACACAUGCAAGUCGAACGGCAGCACGGGUGCUUGCACCUGGUGGCGAGUGGCGGACGGGUGAGUAAUACAUCGGAACGUAUCCUGAAGUGGGGGAUAACGCAUCGAAAGAUGUGCUAAUACCGCAUAUACUCUGAGGAGGAAAGUAGGGGAUCGAAAGACCUUAUGCUUUUGGAGCGGCCGAUGUCUGAUUAGCUAGUUGGUAAGGUAAUGGCUUACCAAGGCAACGAUCAGUAGUUGGUCUGAGAGGACGACCAGCCACACUGGGACUGAGACACGGCCCAGACUCCUACGGGAGGCAGCAGUGGGGAAUUUUGGACAAUGGGCGCAAGCCUGAUCCAGCAAUGCCGCGUGAGUGAAGAAGGCCUUCGGGUUGUAAAGCUCUUUCUAGUUGAGAAGAAAGAAUGUAACUAAUAAUUAGCAAUCCAUGACGGUAUCGACAGAA